UACCUUAAACCUAAAAAAUUUGGCGGCCUCUAAUGGAAUAAGAGGAGUUUGCCCAGUAAACGACGAUCCCCGACAAUCUUACCGGAGAGAAGAGCUUGUAUACCGCCGUCCAGAUUACACUUAAAGGUCUUAUCGUGCUUAUACUUGUAUAUAAGGUCAGGCCAAGGUGCAGCUUAUUCUAAGGCCGGGGUUAACUACAAUAAGAAAGGCUGUUAAACAAGGCCAUGAAACAAGUUGAGAGAGAGGAUUUUAGAGUAAUUCACUUGAAAAGGGUGAGAGUGACAAUUGUGCUAGGGGUGUACAUAUCGCCCGUCGCUCGCGGGA
rnacentral:rRNA from 1 species